rnacentral:rRNA from 1 species
AUACGAAGGGUGCAAGCGUUACUCGGAAUUACUGGGCGUAAAGCGUGCGUAGGUGUUGUUUAAGUCUGUCGUGAAAGCCCUGGGCUCAACCUGGGAAUGGCGAUGGAAACUGGGCGACUAGAGUGUGGCAGAGGGUAGUGGAAUUCCUGGUGUAGCAGUGAAAUGCGUAGAGAUCAGGAGGAACAUCCGUGGCGAAGGCGACUGCCUGGGCCAACACUGACACUGAGGCACGAAAGCGUGGGGAGCAAACAGGAUUAGAUACCCUGGUAGUCCACGCCCUAAACGAUGCGAACUGGAUGUUGGGUGCAAUUUGGCACGCAGUAUCGAAGCUAACGCGUUAAGUUCGCCGCCUGGGGAGUACGGUCGCAAGACUGAAACUCAAAUGAAUUGACGGGG